UACGUAGGCGGCUUUUUAAGUCGGAUGUGAAAUCCCUGAGCUUAACUUAGGAAUUGCAUUCGAUACUGGGGAGCUAGAGUAUGGGAGAGGAUGGUAGAAUUCCAGGUGUAGCGGUGAAAUGCGUAGAGAUCUGGAGGAAUACCGAUGGCGAAGGCAGCCAUCUGGCCUAAUACUGAUGCUGAGGUACGAAAGCAUGGGGAGCAAACA
rnacentral:rRNA from 1 species